GGCCUGUGCCUUCCUCGCCGUGGGCCAGCUCCAAGCCCCCACCCCGGCCCUCAGCGGCCCGGCGCGAGGCUGCCCACCGGAAACACGAGGCUGGGUUCCAAGCUAUUGUCCUGCUCGCCUGUGGUCGCGCGCUCCCUGUGGCUGCCCUCCCGACCGUAGUCGUGGCCUCCACGCCUAGUAACCUGAGCCUUCAGGACACAGGAGUCGACCACACGUGCCCCAGGGCAAAAACCUGAAAAAGAAUCAGCCUGAGCAUUAGAUCUAGAACAAGCAGUUCCAGGUGAUGUCAGGCUCUCUGGAAGUGGACAACUGAACUGGAAAAGUUGAAAUACGAUAAUUGGAACAGAAAAGAUGAAGUAUUUUCCUGGUAUUUUACAUGAAGUUUUAUGGGAAAUGAUACCAAAACACCUCCAGUAUCUAAACCUGCUUGCUAGAUUCGAGAAAUCCCCUAUAAUCCUGGUCUUGGUGGAAAGUAGUAUGCUCCUACCUCUGACUUCGAAGUCCUAAAGAAAUGUCUCAUGAAAACAAGCAUGAAGCAUAUU